rnacentral:rRNA from 1 species
CAGUCGCCGCGGUAAUACGUAGGGUGCGAGCGUUAAUCGGAAUUACUGGGCGUAAAGCGUGCGCAGGCGGUUAUAUAAGACAGAUGUGAAAUCCCCGGGCUCAACCUGGGACCUGCAUUUGUGACUGUAUAGCUAGAGUACGGUAGAGGGGGAUGGAAUUCCGCGUGUAGCAGUGAAAUGCGUGGAUAUGCGGAGGAACACCGAUGGCGAAGGCAAUCCCCUGGACCUGUACUGACGCUCAUGCACGAAAGCGUGGGGAGCAAACAGGAUUAGAUACCCCUGUAGUCCCUGUCUCUUAUAC